GGGAGCGCGCAUGCGCAGCGCUGCUGGCCCGCUCUCUGAGGAGCUUUCAAUACUUUGGGGUCAAGUUUGAGGCAGUUGUAACUGUACUGAGUUUAGUUUUGCUAAUAAUGGUAUUCUACGUGUGUCAGCCUCGUGUGGACUUCUGUAAUGACUAAUGGAUAUGUUUAUAUCCUGAGCAUUUGCUGUAGGAAUUUUAAAUGCAAUCCCAAAACUCAAGAUUACCUUAUUUGGAGAAAUAUUCGUGUUACUAUGUUUAAAAUUUAAUAGAACCAUAUUUUACCUUUCACUUUGGGACUCGCACAGGAUGUUUGCAGCUCUUGAUAUACAGGAACUAGAACGUGUCUUUUAAGAGCAUGCGGUUUUAUAAUUACGUGGAAGUAUGCUACGCAAGGGAAAAAAGCCUCUUGCUAGUGUUAAGGGUCUUCAUAAACAGAAACCGCAAGGAACCUGGGAUCUGACAGCUGUUGGAGGAAUGCCUGUGAGGAAGGAGGAGGAACAGAAGAAUGCUUUGAUGUCUUAAAUGGUACAUCCAAACUUAAGUGAAAUAGAGCUGUGAGGACAUUUUGGGGAGAAGUGACCUAGAUAAGCACUGACUGUUGCAUUCAUCUCUCUUCUUGCUGAUUGUGAUGAUUUCCUGUGCCAUAGCCAUUCAAAGUCUGCCAAAAAAGGCCUUGCCUCCUGGAUGGCAUUUUUGAACCCACCCUGGGCCAGAGGGGAGCCCACUUCUUUGAAGACAGAAACACAGGACUGGCAACAUUUACCAUAAGCUGACUGAGCAGCCAUUGGGCCUUGAGUGAACAUUGGUGGUAGCCAGGCAGUACUUGUCUCAGUACUUGCCUCAGGCCUGGGGUGUCGGUGACCACAGGGAGAGCAUCCAUCUGCUUGAGGAAAGGAGAACAAAGAAAAUAAAGGGCUUAAUCUUGCACUUGAUUGCCAGCUCAGCCAUAGUAGAAUACAGCACCAAGUAAAUUCCUAAGGAUCCUGAUUCCAGGUCCUGGCUCCCAGAUGACAUUUUAGGACUUGUCUUGGGCUUAGGGGGAGCUCGUCAUACUGAAGGGAAAAACACAAGCCUGGCUGGAUUUGCCACCAGCUGAAUAAAGAGUGCUUGGGCCUUGAGUGAACAUUGGCAAUAGCCAAGGAGUGGUCACCAUGGACCUUAGGCAAGAAACCCGGUGCCGUGCUGGCUUUGGAUCUGACCCAGCAUAAUCUCACUGGUAUUUUACUUCUUGUCCAUUUACUUUUUAGUUUAUCAUACACACCAUGUUUACUAGUACUAAAACUGUCUUAAAAUAUUGCAAUUUUGACCCUUUUUCUAAUUGACCUUUAUGUUUUUACAAGCACAUUUUAUUACAUAUGAAUGAGACUUUACUAUGUUAUAUGUAACUCUUAAUUCUGUAAAUAAUAGAUUGCUUAUCUGAAAUAUAGCUGAUAUUUGUUUCUUAAUUAUUUGGCUAUUCCCUAUAUGUUAUACUCUACUAAAGAUCAUGGGAUUUAGAUUCAGAAAACUUACUUCCUAGCUCUUAUUAUUUCUGUGAUCUUGCAAAAGAAAACAAAAAUGAACCAUUGUUUUUUUAUCUGUAACAGGAAAUGUACUUCACAGGAUUGUAAUGAGAAUUAAAUUAGAUAAUAUACAUGAAAAUCAC
ensembl:lncRNA LYPLAL1-DT LYPLAL1 divergent transcript